ACUCAAAGGAAUAGACGGGGGCCCGCACAAGCGGUGGAGCAUGUGGUUUAAUUCGACGCAACGCGCAGAACCUUACCAGCUCUUGACAUGUCCAUGACCGGCCGCAGAGAUGUGGCUUUCCCUUCGGGGCAUGGAACACAGGUGCUGCAUGGCUGUCGUCAGCUCGUGUCGUGAGAUGUUGGGUUAAGUCCCGCAACGAGCGCAACCCCCGUCCUUAGUUGCUACCAUUUAGUUGAGCACUCUAAGGAGACUGCCGGUGAUAAGCCGCGAGGAAGGUGGGGAUGACGUCAAGUCCUCAUGGCCCUUACGGGCUGGGCUACACACGUGCUACAAUGGCGGUGACAGAGGGAUGCGAAGGAGCGAUCCUUGGCAAAUCUCAAAAAGCCGUCUCAGUUCGGAUUGGAGUCUGCAACUCGACUCCAUGAAGUUGGAAUCGCUAGUAAUCGCGGAUCAGCACGCCGCGGUGAAUACGUUCCCGGGCCUUGUACACACCGCCCGU
rnacentral:rRNA from 1 species